rnacentral:lncRNA from 1 species
AGCACACGGCCAGCGGCUUUCCUCCAGCCCGGCACUUUGUGACAUAGACUUCAAAUGUGGCGCCUCUCUUGUCCUGCCCCACCCCGACGCGUCCAGAACAAGCUGUCUCUUAGCAUUGGGGAUCAUCUCCCAUUCCCCGGGGGAAGUCAUGCCCAGAUGGAACGGCACCCCGCCUUCUCCAGGGCGGCCCAGACCCUGCGAAUACUGGGAUGCGUCAACGGGAAUGUGGAUCUGAAGAACAGAAUGCUGAUGAUCCCCAGGAGGGUCUGAAGGUUAACGGGGGACUGGAGAGAUGAAGCCGGGAGCCUCCCGCCUCCUGCUGUGUGUCCCUGGCAAGUUGCUUGGCCUCUCUGAGCCUUGUUUCGUGCAUCUGUUGAGUGUGAAUGCAAAUACUGGUGCUCAAUAGGUGCUUAGCUCCCGGCUGUUGGACGAGAGGCUGGGAGAGGUGUUGCAGGUGGAGUCUCGGCGGGCAGGGGAACCGCUCAAGACCAAUUCUGUUGCUCUCUUCUUGGCCAGGACAUGUAGCACACAGUAGGUGCCUCAUAAAACCUUGCCGACCUGUUUGGGUCCAAGACUCCUGAAUCUAAGGCUUCCUUUUCCCUUUUCUUUAAAAAAAAAAAAGUUUUUUUAAUGUUUAUUUUUGAGACAGAGAGAGACAGAGCAUGAACGGGGAGGGUCAGAGAGGGGGAGACGCAGAAUCUGAAGCAGGUUCCAGUCUCUGAGCUGUCAGCACAGAGCCUGACACGGGGCUCGAACUCACGGACCGCGAGAUCAUGGCCUGAGCCGACGUUGGAGGCUCAACCGACUGAGCCACCCAGGCUCCCCUCCUUUUCCCUUUUGACUUGUCUUCCAGCCUCACCUGCGCCUCCCUGGUGGGGCCACCGGGCAGGCAGGCACACUCAGUGCUGAAGUGUAGAUUCUGAAGCCUGGGUUCAAGUCCUGACUUGGCACACAGUAGGUGCCACAGAACGACAUUGCCAUAACACUGAUUCGUACUGUUAGCGUGGGUUUCAGGCUCCAGAUUCUUCUGGGGGCUGCAGCAAGCAGACCUCUCCAUGCCGAUCAGCCCCUGCCCCAUCCCACAGUGUGGGGUCAAGGCAGAGGUUUCAGCCCGGGGCAGUUUGCCCCCCCCCCGCCCCCCCAACCCUCCCCAGGGGACAUCUGGCAAUGUCUGGAGACAUUUUUGGUUGUCAUGCCUGGGGGAGGUGAUACAGGCAUCUGGCGGGUAGAGGCUAAAGGGGUGCUAAGCGCCCUACAGUGCCCGGGACCU